UACGAAGGGGGCUAGCGUUGCUCGGAAUUACUGGGCGUAAAGGGCGCGUAGGCGGAUAGUUUAGUCAGAGGUAAAAGCCCAGGGCUCAACCUUGGAACUGCCUUUGAUACUGGCUAUCUUGAGUUCGGGAGAGGUGAGUGGAAUGCCGAGUGUAGAGGUGAAAUUCGUAGAUAUUCGGCGGAACACCAGUGGCGAAGGCGACUCACUGGCCCGAUACUGACGCUGAGGCGCGAAAGCGUGGGGAGCAAACAGG
rnacentral:rRNA from 2 species